CACGUAGGGUGCGAGCGUUGUCCGGAAUUAUUGGGCGUAAAGAGCUCGUAGGCGGUUUGUCGCGUCUGCUGUGAAAACUCGGGGCUUAACCCCGGGCCUGCAGUGGGUACGGGCAGACUAGAGUGCGGUAGGGGAGACUGGAAUUCCUGGUGUAGCGGUGAAAUGCGCAGAUAUCAGGAGGAACACCGGUGGCGAAGGCGGGUCUCUGGGCCGAUACUGACGCUGAGGAGCGAAAGCGUGGGGAGCGAACAGG
rnacentral:rRNA from 1 species